rnacentral:rRNA from 1 species
UACGUAGGGACCGAGCGUUGUCCGGAAUCAUUGGGCGUAAAGAGCGUGUAGGCGGCCAGAUAGGUCCGUUGUGAAAACUGGAGGCUUAACCUCCAGCGGUCGAUGGAAACCAUCUGGCUAGAGUCCGGAAGAGGAGAGUGGAAUUCCUGGUGUAGCGGUGAAAUGCGCAGAUAUCAGGAAGAACACCCGUGGCGAAGGCGGCUCUCUGGGACGGUACUGACGCUGAGACGCGAAAGCGUGGGGAGCGAACAGG